rnacentral:rRNA from 1 species
GAUGAACGCUGGCGGCGUGCCUAAUACAUGCAAGUCGAGCGAACUGAUUAGAAGCUUGCUUCUAUGACGUUAGCGGCGGACGGGUGAGUAACACGUGGGCAACCUGCCUGUAAGACUGGGAUAACUUCGGGAAACCGAAGCUAAUACCGGAUAGGAUCUUCUCCUUCAUGGGAGAUGAUUGAAAGAUGGUUUCGGCUAUCACCUACAGAUGGGCCCGCGGUGCAUUAGCUAGUUGGUGAGGUAACGGCUCACCAAGGCAACGAUGCAUAGCCGACCUGAGAGGGUGAUCGGCCACACUGGGACUGAGACACGGCCCAGACUCCUACGGGAGGCAGCAGUAGGGAAUCUUCCGCAAUGGACGAAAGUCUGACGGAGCAACGCCGCGUGAGUGAUGAAGGCUUUCGGGUCGUAAAACUCUGUUGUUAGGGAAGAACAAGUACGAGAGUAACUGCUCGUACCUUGACGGUACCUAACCAGAAAGCCACGGCUAACUACGUGCCAGCAGCCGCGGUAAUAC